rnacentral:rRNA from 1 species
GUCUCAAAGAUUAAGCCAUGCAUGUCUAAGAAUAAGCAAUCUAUACGGUGAAACUGCGAAUGGCUCAUUAAAUCAGUUAUCGUUUAUUUGAUAGUACCUUACUACUUGGAUAACCGUGGUAAUUCUAGAGCUAAUACACGCUAAAAACCCCGACUUCGGAAGGGGUGUAUUUAUUAGAUAAAAAACCAAUGC